ensembl:lncRNA
GGAACAAAUCAGAAUUCUUUAUAAACUUUGCAUGUGUUAUAAGGCAUACACUUCCUUAAAGGGUCCAACGCAUGAAUUAUCUUUUUUUACCCUGAACAACCCACAAUAAUCAUCUUGCUGCAUCUAAGAAACUUAUGAACUUGAGCAAAAAAAUUAGGGUUGGAGCAUUCAUCUAGGUCAGGGGCGUCAAACUCUCAGCCUGUGAGCUGGAUGUGUCACAUGCUGGAUAUUUCACAUGCUGGCCAUGCUGGCUUGUAUCACCGAAACCUGGUUGGGCCCGGAGGGAGGUGUCCCUCUGGUUGAUCUAUGCCCUCCAGGUUUCCGGGUUUUGCACCGGCCACGGGCCCAGGGAAGGGGUGGUGGGGUGGCUGUGGUUAUUCGGGAGACCCUGUUUCCAAGGGAGGUCGCUGUUCCAGAGAUAGGCGGGAGUGAGACCCUCCUCUUGAGGUGGGGGCCUAAUGGUCGGGUGGGCUUGCUGCUCGCAUACCUUUCCCCCAGCUGUGUGGCAGCGGCCCUGCCUGGGCUUCUUGAUGUCCUCUCAGGGGUGGCGGUGGAGUUCCCGGGCCUUAUAGUGCUGGGGGACUUCAAUCUGCCCUCCCUGGGGGGAGCGUCGGGUUUGGCCCAGGAAUUCAUGGCUUCUAUGGAAGCCAUGGGCCUGACCCAAUUGAUUCUAGGCCCGACUCACGAGGGGGGAAACACUCUUGACCUAGUUUUUGUCUCUGAACAGUGGCGUAGUGACAGAGGGCAAGCCACUUUUAUGGCAUUGCCCGUUCCAUGGUCUGAUCACUAUCUCCUACGGCUGGUCUUCCAAUGGGCCACCCCCCACUGCUGGGAUGAGGAGCCACUUAGAUGGUUCCGCCCCAGACGCCUGAUGGACCCUGAGAGGUUCCAGGCGGAACUGGGGUCCUUUCCCUCUUCCCUUGCCCACAGCUCUGCCGAGGAUGUAGCGGCCGCUUGGCAACAGGCUGCGUCGGAUGCCCUCGACAGGGUUGUCCCCAUGCGUCCCCUCACACACCGUGGAUCCCGGAUGGCUCCUUGGUAUACAGAAGAGCUCCGGGAGAUGAAGCGUCGUCAGAGGGGUUUAGAGAGCAGGUGGAGGUCCACCCGCUCCCAAUCCGAUCGAGCCCAGCUAAGAGCCCAUAUUAGGACUUACCUGGUAGUUAUGAGAGCAGCGAGAAGGUCUUAUCUCUCCACCCUCAUAGCGUCCGCAGAUAACCGCCCAGCUGCCCUGUUUCAGGCUACCCGCUCUCUCCUUCGUACGGGGGAGGGGGAGGACCCACUGCGGGGAAGGGCUGAGGAAUUUGGUCAAUAUCUGUCGGACAAGAUCACCCAGAUUCGGAGCGGAUUGUCCUCCGAUUUGCAGUGGUCUGAGGAACGGGAUACAAGUAGUCUGGCCAGUGUGAUCUGGGAUGAGUUCGAUCCUGUUUCCGAGGAUGAAGUGGACAGGACUAUGCGGCAUCUGAGUUCCACCACAUGUUUGUUGGACCCGUGUCCUUCCUGGUUGGCUUAUGCCUCCAGGGAGGCCACCUGCGGUUGGCUCCGGGCAGUUGUCAACGCUUUGUUAAGAGAGGGUCUUUUUCCCUCCGCCUUGAAGGAGGCGGUGGUGAGACCCAUCCUGAAGAAGCCUGCCCUGGACCCGACCGUGUUAGACAACUUUCGUCCAGUCUCCAACCUUUGCUUUUUGGCGAAGGUUGUUGAGAGUGUGGUGGCUCAGCAGUUUCCACUUUUCCUGGAUGAAGCGGACUACCUGGAUCCAUGCCAAUCGGGCUUCUGACCCGGUUUCAGCAUGGAGACGGCAUUGGUCGUGUUGAUGGAUGAUCUCUGGAGGGCGCGGGACAGGGGCUUUUCCUCUGUCCUGGUCCUAUUAGACCUCUCAGUGGCUUUCGAUACCAUCGACCAUGGUAUCCUUUUGCGAUGCCUCGGGGGGCUGGGAAUGGGGGGCACUGUUCUUCAGUGGUUCAC